rnacentral:lncRNA from 1 species
UUGACCGCAGCCCAGGAGCCCAUGCCGAAGAGAGCCACCAGCAGGGCCAGACACGCUUUGGCUCUCCUGGGAAGUGAAGACUUCUUCUAGCUUGAAAGAAACAGAGAAACAGAUAGGAUGCAGAGCCGGAGUCAGAACAGGGUGAGACCAGGGGAACUGGGGGAGCCCCGGGCAGGAGCGCAGAUGGGGAGGAUUGGCUAAAACGUACCCAGCGGGACCGCCGGCAGGCAGGGAAGCAGGAAGCCGGCCCGAGUCGCUGCGGCCCCAGGGGAGGAGGCCGAAGGAGCGAGUGGAGCCCUCCUCUCCAGGGAGAGGCGGGGCUGGAGUCAACGCCACCACCACCCCAAGCCGGACGCCGGGAAAGGGCGCCUACCAGGAGGAGCCACGCACACCCCAGGGCUUCACGGUGCCCGCGACCGCAAGAGCCAAGUCAGAUCCCAGGGGAGUGGCCGGGACGGCUCUGCUCGGAGGGGCGCCGCCCUCUCGGUACCGUCAGGUGGGCGACUCGGGAGCCGUCCGGUCCCUGCGCCUCCCGGUCCCGCGCCCAGUGCGCUCCCGCUCCAGUGCCGGCUUCCCGCCACGCCGGGACACCGCCGUCCGGCCCAGGGACGCCACCUCAGUCCGGAGCGCGCAGGACCCGGCAGCAGCCACGACCCGACUCACCCGUGGCGGUUCCGGGCCCGCCCCCGGCAUGGCCCACGACCGGAAGUCCCGCCCCGGAAGCUGGUCGGCGGGCGGGCGGGCGUUGAGAGGAACCGGGGGGUUGUCGGUCUAUAAGCCUCGCCCGUUCCGCUCCCUGGGGCUUCCCCGAGCGCCGUCGGUGGUCAUGGCUGCCCCAGCCUCCCGGCAGGUCCGACGCAGAGCCCGGGCAGCGCCGCGGCCCCGCUCGGCCGAGGACUGGUGGUGGGACCGGCUGGCGCCGAGGGGCUCGGGGUACCACCUGCUGCAGUCCGACAGCAUGCUGCUGGUGCUGUCCGAACCCGGCCCCGCCCGGCCCCGCGCACAGCGGCGCGCUUCCCGCCGCACUCCCCGGCAGCCGCCCCGGGGCCCCAGCGCCGCGGCCAAGCCCAAGGCCGGGCUCAGGUCCGAGGCGGCGGCCGCGCCCGCACCCGCACCGGCACCCACGCCCACGCCCGAGGAAGGGCCCGACGCGGGCUGGGGAGACCGCAUUCCCUUGGAAAUCCUGGUGCAGAUUUUCGGGUUGUUGGUGGCGGCGGACGGCCCCAUGCCCUUCCUGGGCAGGUAACGCUGGUGCCGGGCCCGCCGCCGAGCGUAGCGGCUUGGGCCAGACGUGGUCCGAGCGGUGGCCCGGGCGGGGGCGGAGGGCGAAAGCAUCGGAGCGCGCACCGCUCAGUCCGAGAGCGCAGCCCCUUAGGCGCCCAGUUGGAGUCCCAGGAGCCCGGCUUUGAGCCGGGGUGUCUACUGCGCUGCGAGAGGGGGGCAUCGCCUACGGAGGGGCCGGCACCCUCAGCACGCUGUCCUCCCAGGGCUGCGCGCGUGUGCCGCCGCUGGCAGGAGGCCGCUUCCCAACCCGCGCUCUGGCACACCGUGACCCUGUCGUCCCCGCUGGUCGGCCGGCCUGCCAAGGGCGGGGUCAAGGCGGAGAAGAAGCUCCUUGCUUCCCUGGAGUGGCUUAUGCCCAAUCGGUUUUCACAGCUCCAGAGGCUGACCCUCAUCCACUGGAAGUCUCAGGUACACCCCGUGUUGAAGGUGAGAGCUCCAGGCUGUCCUGCACAUCAGCUGUGACACUCUGGGACUGUUCAGUACUCUAGGAAGUGGGUCAGGCACCUUGGGGGCCCAACGCUGCUCCGUGGGGAUGUCUGCCUGCCUGCCUGGUUCUCUUUUCCUGCUGUUUCCUCCAGCAGGGAGGUAUCAGAGGCGGGGACACCCAAGUAGGCCUGGCAUGGGCAGAAAGGAGGUCACAGCUAAGGCGGUAGAGUGGGGUUGGCACCAGCCACUUGUCUGUUUCCCUUGUGGAUCUUAGCCUGUCGUCUCCCAACCCCAGCUGCCCCUCUGUCUCCCCGCAGCUGGUAGGUGAGUGCUGUCCUCGGCUCACUUUCCUCAAGCUCUCCGGCUGCCACGGUGUGACUGCUGACGCUCUGGUCAUGCUAGCCAAAGCCUGCUGCCAGCUCCAUAGCCUGGACCUACAGCACUCCAUGGUGGAGUCCACAGCUGUGGUGAGCUUCUUGGAGGAGGCAGGGUCCCGAAUGCGCAAGUUGUGGCUGACCUACAGCUCCCAGACGACAGCCAUCCUGGGCGCACUGCUGGGCAGCUGCUGCCCCCAGCUCCAGGUCCUGGAGGUGAGCACCGGCAUCAACCGUAAUAGCAUUCCCCUUCAGCUGCCUGUCGAGGCUCUGCAGAAAGGCUGCCCUCAGCUCCAGGUGCUGCGGCUGUUGAACCUGAUGUGGCUGCCCAAGCCUCCGGGACGAGGGGUGGCUCCCGGACCAGGCUUCCCUAGCCUAGAGGAGCUCUGCCUGGCGAGCUCAACCUGCAACUUUGUGAGCAACGAGGUCCUGGGCCGCCUACUCCACGGCUCUCCCAACCUGCGCUUACUGGAUCUUCGUGGCUGUGCGCGCAUCACGCCGGCUGGCCUUCAGGAUCUGCCAUGUCGGGAGCUGGAGCAGCUUCAUCUGGGCCUGUAUGGCACGUCAGACCGGCUGACUCUAGCCAAGGAGGGCAGCCCCUUUUUGACCCAGAAGUGGUGCCAUACACUGCGAGAACUGGACUUGAGUGGCCAGGGGUUCAGUGAGAAGGACCUGGAGCAGGCCCUGGCUGCCUUCUUAAGCACCCCUGGGGGCUCACACCCAGCCCUGUGCUCUCUUAACCUCAGGGGCACCCGGGUCACACCAAGCACUGUCAGCUCUGUGAUCAGCGGCUGCCCGGGCCUGCUCUACCUCAACCUGGAGUCCUGCCGCUGCCUUCCCCGGGGUCUGAAGCGGGCCUACCGGGGCCUGGAGGAAGUCCAGUGGUGUCUGGAGCAGCUGCUCACCAGCCCCUCACCCAGCUAGGCAGCCACAGACCUGGGACACCUCAGCCAGCUUGCCCACCCUCCACCUUUGCCCAAUUUCAGAUAUUUGAGCAUUUUGUUAAAAUAAAACAUUUUUAGGA